GGGAGGGAGAGAGAGAGAGAGAGAGAGAGAGAGCAAUGGUGUCAGUCGAUAGGUGCUGAUGAAAACAGGAACCUGUCAGCUGUUAAUGUGGCCAGAAACAAGGUCAGGCGCUGAAUCGAUAUCUCCACUAAUAGAUGCAGCGCUGGGUGAGAACCAGUUACAGACUUCAGUCCAAUGAGUCCUCUAAUAAGCCGAUCAGUCAACAAGAGGCCGGAACCGUUGGUGGUGAAUGUGGGAGCGAUGACGAUGACGAAGAAACGCUUGUCCUGGAACAUAAACACAGACCUGGGAUUCAGAGCGGCCGCGAGACCCUCGGCAUUCCGACCGACUCUCCAGGCUCCGGCGAGAAGCCGGGAAUCAGGGAAGGUGGGGAGAACACGCGCCUCCACCACCUUCACAGCUUGAACCCCUCCAAACAUCCUGCGCUGCUUUUUAUGGACUCGGAGACAAUGGGGCCUCGUCAGAACCCCCUGUAAUCUGGAGGAGGCGGAGGACACGCCCCUCUCCUCCGCGCUCGGCCUCUGCGGUUCAGUUUCUCAGAAGCGGCGAACGGGGGAGUUCAGCGGGGGGGGGGGUCACACAGAUGCUAAAAAUGCUAACUGAAAUCUAACCAAACCCCUCGAACGCUUUGAGAAGGUUUUAAAUAAAAAAGAUCUUUCCGUGAAGUUAUUGCAGUUACUGCUACUGUCUGUUUUAUCCAUUAGGUUUAAUGUUUAAAUGCAAGAGCGACAUUGACGGGACACCUUUAAAUGUUUUCUGAAAAGGAUCUCAAAAAUAUUUUGCACGCGUGUUUUUCCGCUCAGUCAGACGCGUCCGCGGCCCUUUGUAGUGACUCCCUCCGCUCUGCAAUUACAGCCUGGUGUCUGCCACAACAGCCCAUCGGAGCUCGGGCCUGAUAUAAUGUGCUUCUCGGAGUAAAAACACGCUGGGAUCCUUGAGGCGGCGCAGACACACAACAGGGACACAAGCUCGUAAAUCACUCUGAUGCCAUUUUGCCGUUUUGACGAUGGGAGUCAAAGCCGUUUAAAUACAGGGACGCAGCUUCACGCGCCUGUGGGAAGCUUUUCACACCAGCCGCAUCUCGACACGAACCGGCGGUACACCGUGUGCUCGAUCCGCUCCACUGUGAGAGUAUAAGCCCAGUAUUAAAGUCGUGACAAUUCAAAAGAAACCUCCUUUUGAAGCGGCAGACAACCCGAAGCCGAAGUCCCAGACAGCGAGGAGCAAAUUCGAAUAGAAGCUGGGUGUUUGAUGUGAGACAACUCCGGGGCAAUCAGGGAGAGUGCAGAAUUCCAGAUUAACUUUAAGCCAGUGAGCUCUGUGAAAGCUAAGCCACGACGGCUCCCCUGCUGUGAUCUCAUCCCCCCCUGCGCCCGCCAUCCCCCGUUCCUCCAACGCCGAAGGCAGCUCCCGACUGGAGGGAAGCGGCUGAAACGCGCGGCCGGGCGGUCGCCAACAGAGGCUGCUAUUCCCAGAACCUCCACCCACGCACCACACGCACGGGCCAGAGCCGCAUUCAUCAUCUACCUUCAGAAACUGGAGUGCAUCAAAUGCUUCAUUUAAAGGAGCCAUAGAACUGCACUGCUUGUCAUUUUGGGACAAAAGCAGGACUUUAACUGUUUGGUGUGAAGCGAUGACAACAAACAAAUAAAACAGGAAUUUCCGGGC